rnacentral:rRNA from 1 species
UACUCCUACGGGAGGCAGCAGUGGGGAAUUUUGCGCAAUGGGCGAAAGCCUGACGCAGCAACGCCGCGUGAGUGAUGAAGGUUUUCGGAUCGUAAAGCUCUGUCAGGAGGAAAGAAACUCCAGAAGGCUAAUAUCCUUUUGGACUGACGGUACCUCCAAAGGAAGCACCGGCUAACUCCGUGCCAGCAGCCGCGGUAAUA